rnacentral:rRNA from 1 species
CAGUCGAGCGGUAACAGGGGAAGCUUGCUUCCCGCUGACGAGCGGCGGACGGGUGAGUAAUGCUUAGGAAUCUGCCCAGUAGUGGGGGAUAGCCCGGGGAAACCCGGAUUAAUACCGCAUACGUCCUACGGGAGAAAGCAGGGGAUCUUCGGACCUUGCGCUAUUGGAUGAGCCUAAGUCGGAUUAGCUAGUUGGUGGGGUAAAGGCCUACCAAGGCGACGAUCCGUAGCUGGUCUGAGAGGAUGAUCAGCCACAUCGGGACUGAGACACGGCCCGAACUCCUACGGGAGGCAGCAGUGGGGAAUAUUGGACAAUGGGGGCAACCCUGAUCCAGCCAUGCCGCGUGUGUGAAGAAGGCUUUCGGGUUGUAAAGCACUUUCAGUAGGGAGGAAAACCUUAUGGCUAAUACCCAUGAGGCUUGACGUUACCUACAGAAGAAGCACCGGCUAACUCCGUGCCAGCAGCCGCGGUAAUACGGAGGGUGCAAGCGUUAAUCGGAAUUACUGGGCGUAAAGCGCGCGUAGGUGGUUUGGUAAGCGAGAUGUGAAAGCCCCGGGCUUAACCUGGGAACGGCAUUUCGAACUGUCAGACUAGAGUGUGGUAGAGGGUAGUGGAAUUUCCUGUGUAGCGGUGAAAUGCGUAGAUAUAGGAAGGAACACCAGUGGCGAAGGCGGCUACCUGGACCAACACUGACACUG